rnacentral:snRNA from 8 species
CUGUGCUGACCCCUGCGAAUUUCCCAAAUGUGGAAAUCUCGAUUGCAUAAUUUCUGGUAGGGGGGGACUGCGUUCGCGCUCUCCCCUG